rnacentral:pre_miRNA from 1 species
GGUGCUGGAAAGGAGGCAAGAUGCUGGCAUAGCUGUUGAAGUGAGAACCUGCUAUGCCAACAUAUUGCCAUCUUUCUUG